rnacentral:lncRNA from 1 species
CUAAUUUCAGGUCCAGAGUCCCGGCUGCUCCACCUUAAGUGCCUAGGCUCCCCCAGAGCUAUUGCUCCCUGGAGACAAGGGGGAUAUUCUGGGUGCGGGUGCUGUGGGGACGAUGCGAGUCCACUUGUCCUUGGGAAACCUGGUGGAGGCUCUGGGCCUGAGGCUCCACACAGCGCCACCUGGUGGCGUCUCUGGGCGUGGCUGCAGCUUGUGGGCGGAUGUGGGAGUUCGGGGUGUCUCCAGGGCCACCCCACCUGCUCUCUGUGAAGGUUUGGCCUGCAGGUGGGGAGGGACCAAGCUGGGGGGCCAUGUGGACAGCCUCUCUCUCGUUUUCCAUCCACUCCACAGGGACCAUAAGACUGUCUCCUCGCUCCCUCUUGGGGUGGGCUCCGUCCCGUGGAGUUCCAAGCCGGGGGCAAAGCUGACCUGUGGGAGCCACAGCUGGACCUUGUGUCCUGACUCUGCUUCCUGGAAGCCGGGGGAGGGUGGAUGUGAAGUAAACUCCCUGAAGCCGGCUCCUCGUGGGGCUCCUGGGGGAGAUGGCGGAGGCUAUGUUGGGGCUCAGAGAACAAUGCCCCAAGGGUGGCGGAGCAGGUGUGAGCUGAGCAGGCUCCAUCAGGCCCCUCGGCCCUGGAUCUGCCUUCCCUGUGUCAAGAGCAGGUCACAGGAGGGGACACAGCCGCCCUCUCUCCCACCUUGGAACCCUGCCGCCUCGCUCAGAGAGGACAUGCCGGGGCAGCCGCACCUGGGACCUCGUCCACAUUGCAACAUUUACAGAGUGCCAGUGACGGACAGACAGACAGACAGACAGAACAGAGCUCCUGUUUGCUGGUUCACUCCUCCAAAUACCCGCACGCCCGGGGCUGGGCUGCGGCAAAGCCAGGAACCGGAGACACAACCUGGCUCUCCUAUUUGGGAGGCAGGGACCCAUCACCUGCUCUCUCCCGGGUGCCCAGUAGCAGGAAGCUGGAUGCGCGUGCAGGAGCUGGGACUCAAAUCCAGGCCAGUGUGGGAUGCAGGGGCAUCUUACCCAGAGCCUUAGCCCCUGCGCCGGACGCCGGCCCCGUGAAGACAAACUCCUGAGGAGCCACUGUGUCCCCGUAACCACAGCAGGACAUGAGAAACUAGGGGGUCCCCGGCAGCAGGUGGACAAGCACGAUGGGCAGGCCGUGGUCCUGGCUCCUGGCUCCUGUGUGCUCGCUCUCCCUCGCUCCAUCCCAGGAGCGUUCAGAGGGCAGAGGGCGGGGAGACACUUCCCUUCACCCCCACAUUCCCUACCUGGUCUCUGCGUGUGGGAUUGACUCUGGCUGCGGUUAAUUAUUUUUUUAAAGAUUAAUUUAUUUACUUUAGAGGCAGAGUAAGAGAGAGAGAGAGAGAGAGGUCUUCCACCCGCUGCUUCACUCCCC